CUCCCUACACCCUCACAGUGCAGACGAUGAACCAUCUCAACUUUGCUGCAUGACCUGUGAAAGUCAAACAGUGGACAGCAAAAGAUUUUGUGCAGUCUCAAGUGAAGGUGUUGCUGCUGCCAAGCUAGUUUGGAAGGCUCCCUUUCAAUGGAGGACAUUGUAGAUGGCCAAGAAGGACAACAUUAAGCAGCUCUGAUGCUUUGACUUCAGGUGGCCCAGUCUCACUGAGAUUCUGGGAUGAAGUGUAUGUCGUAUGCAAGGAGGAGAAUUAGAUGUGAAUAUAUCAUCAUCUUCCAUAAUCUCACCUUCACCGGCAGCAAGGAUCUCUGUGGUGGCCAAGCCCAUGAUUGCCUUCAUCCAGUCCUCAAUGUGACUCAGUCUACAGCUGUUUCUUCCAGCCAAGAGUGGCAAUGAGCUUGAGUGACUUCAAAGGAGGAGCAGUUGGUAACU